UUAACAAAAACAUGUCUUUUUGAGUUAUUUUAAAAGUCUGACCUGCCCACUGAAGUUGUUUAAAUGGCCGCAGUAUUCUAACUGUGCAAAGGUAGCAUAAUCAUUAGUCUUUUAAUUGAAGGCUGGUAUGAACGGUUGGACGAGGUAUAAGCUGUUUCAUAUAAAUUUAUAAUAGAAUUUUAUAUUUUAGUUAAAAAGCUAAAAUUUAAUUAAAAGACGAGAAGACCCUAUAAAUCUUUAUACCUUAUAUUAUUUAAGUUUUUUUGAUUAGUUUUACUUUUAUAGUUUGAGGUAUUUUGUUGGGGUGAUAUUAAAAUUUAAUAAACUUUUAAUUAUUAAAAAUCAUUAAUUUAUGAGUUAUUGAUCCAUUAAUAGUGAUUAUAAGAUUAAGUUACUUUAGGGAUAACAGCGUAAUUUUUUUGGAGAGUUCAUAUCGAUAAAAAAGUUUGCGACCUCGAUGUUGGAUUAAGAUAUAUUUUUAGGUGUAGCCGCUUAAAUAUUAAGUCUGUUCGACUUUUAAAUUCUUACGUGAUCUGAGUUC
rnacentral:rRNA from 1 species